rnacentral:misc_RNA from 1 species
UGUUUGGUUUGUUACGUGUGGUUGGCUGCGGCGUUUGCAACAACUUCCAUGCUUUCAGACCUCUUCAGUUGUGCGGCAAGGCUUGUAUCGCUUUGAGCGUAUUGUGGGUUUUCUGUGUUGGCUACCUAAUCAACGGUAUCGUUUGGAUUGAUCAAAGUUUGAUUUCGUCUUCCGUCGCGUUUGCGGCGUGAGGUGAACCUUGAUGCGGUCUCUUUGAUCCAUCUCGUCGAAGCACAUGCUUUGACGUUGUGGCACAUUGAGCAUUGCUUGGUGUCUUGUAUACGGAACACGUAGUGGGCAUGGAUCUAACGAUUCUUGUUUGCCCUCAUAUUAGCGUAACGCUUCUCUAACACGACUUGCACCACGUUUUAGCUCGUACGGACGUGGUG